rnacentral:rRNA from 1 species
GACGAACGCUGGCGGUGUGCUUAACACAUGCAAGUCGAACGGUAAGGCCCUUUCGGGGGUACACGAGUGGCGAACGGGUGAGUAACACGUGAGUAACCUGCCCUCAUCUCUGGGAUAACAGUCGGAAACGGUUGCUAAUACUGGAUAUGAGCCUGCAAGGCAUCUUGUGGGUUGGAAAGAUUUUUUGGUUGGGGAUGGACUCGCGGCCUAUCAGCUUGUUGGUGAGGUAGUGGCUCACCAAGGCUUCGACGGGUAGCCGGCCUGAGAGGGCGACCGGCCACAUUGGGACUGAGAUACGGCCCAAACUCCUACGGGAGGCAGCAGUGGGGAAUAUUGCACAAUGGACGGAAGUCUGAUGCAGCAACGCCGCGUGCGGGAUGACGGCCUUCGGGUUGUAAACCGCUUUCAAUUGUGACGAAGCUUUUUGUGACGGUAGCAGUAGAAGAAGCACCAGCUAACUACGUG